GAUUAUGUUGUAAACGGUUUACACUUUGAUUGCAAAUCAUUAGUAUGAGGUUCAAUUCCUCCAUAAUCU
rnacentral:tRNA from 1 species